UUGAGUACUAUUUAUUUAAAAGGCCCAAAUCCUAAAACUAAAAGUAGCACAAGACUUUCCAACAAUUAAAUCAAAAAAAGAGAAAACAAACCAACUAAAAUAAAAUACUCCUAGAUCACUAAUAUGUCUUCUUCUUCCAUCCCCAAUUACAACUCCCUCUUGCUUGCAGCUCCACCGUGAGUCGUCGGCGUGCAGCGAUUCCUCACCACCGCCGUUUCUGCCUCCGGUCGUCUAGCCAUCGCGCUCCAACACAACAGGCUGUUAGAAAGGAUUGAGAGUCGAUUUUGUUCAAAGGGGCUAAAGCACUUCAACAACAGGAAUUAAAGAUUGGGACUUUGCCACUCAUGUGUUAUCUAAAGGAUUUCCAAACGUGUGAACUAUUGAAUGGUAUGCUGUGAAAUUUAGAAAAUAGAGAGUUCAGAAUUUGGGGAAUUAUACUUUCGGAGAAAAGGAUUUGCCAACAAAUAGGGAAAUUGAAAUCACGAUCCUCUCGGUUUCAAACUUGUUGGAAGGAAGAAAUUGCAGUGGCUUCUAAUACGAGUAUAUCUAUUCCUUUUUCGGAUUUUCUAGAAGGAUUUUGAAAGAAUGAUGUAAAUUGUGAAGCUUGUGGAAUAUCUCUACGUAGGCCAUCUCUAACCAUUUACGCCAAACUCAAACUCAUUUUUGAGUAUGUGUCACACUAAAAAGUAGUUUUACUCCAACCAUUAUCUUUAAGUUUACACCAUUUUUGAGUAUUUCUCUCACAAAAUUUUGGAGUAAACACCAUAUUUGGUGUUAUUCCAUUGAAAAACCCAAAAAUGGGUUUGAGUUUGGUGUAUGGUUGGAGAAAUUAUCUACACCAAAAAUGAGUUUUGGUGUAUGGUUGGAGAUGAUCGUAGAACAGAUUUGGCUGAUUAUAUUCCUCUUUUUCAAGGUGGUGGAGAGAUUUGAGGUAA